AAGCGUAGCAAUACGUGGAAAGCGGCGUAAGGGAGAGUAAUGCAUGGUUAGCUACCCUCGGGACUGGAAUAGCGGCGGGAAACUGCCGGUAAUGCCAGAUGAUGUCUUCGGACCAAACGUGUAAACCGGCCCGAGGAGGUGACCAUGUCCUAUCAGCUAGUUGGCGGUGUAACGGACCACCAAGGCUAAGACGGGUAUGGGGCGUGAGAGCGUGCCCCCACUCACUGGGACUGAGACACUGCCCAGACACCUACGGGUGGCUGCAGUCGAGAAUCUUCGGCAAUGGGCGCAAGCCUGACCGAGCGACGCCGCGUGCGGGAUGAAGGCCUUCGGGUUGUAAACCGCUGUCGUAGGGGAGGAAGGCUUGGUGUAUAGCCAAGUUUGACCGAUCCUAGGAGGAAGGGCCGGCUAAUCUCGUGCCAGCAGCCGCGGUAAUACGAGAGGCCCAAACGUUAUUCGGAUUUACUGGGCUUAAAGAGUUCGUAGGCGGCGCAGAAAGUAGGGUGUGAAAGCCCUCGGCUCAACCGAGGAAUUGCGCCCUAAACUGCUGUGCUUGAGGAACCUAGAGGUGAGCAGAACUGAUGGUGGAGCGGUGAAAUGCGUUGAUAUCAUCAGGAAUACCGGAGGCGAAGGCGGCUCACUGGGGGUUUUCUGACGCUGAGGAACGAAAGCCAGGGGAGCGAACGGGAUUAGAUACCCCGGUAGUCCUGGC
rnacentral:rRNA from 1 species